rnacentral:rRNA from 1 species
CCUACGGGCGGCAGCAGUGGGGAACAUUGGACAAUGGGCGAAAGCCUGAUCCAGCCAUGCCGCGUGUGUGAAGAAGGCCUUCGGGUUGUAAAGCACUUUCAGUGGGGAAGAAAGCCUUGGGGCUAAUACCCUCGAGGAAGGACAUCACCCACAGAAGAAGCACCGGCUAACUCCGUGCCAGCAGCCGCGGUAAUACGGAGGGUGCGAGCGUUAAUCGGAAUUACUGGGCGUAAAGCGCGCGUAGGCGGUCUGAUAAGCCGGUUGUGAAAGCCCCGGGCUCAACCUGGGAACGGCAUCCGGAACUGUCAGGCUAGAGUGCAGGAGAGGAAGGUAGAAUUCCCGGUGUAGCGGUGAAAUGCGUAGAGAUCGGGAGGAAUACCAGUGGCGAAGGCGGCCUUCUGGACUGACACUGACGCUGAGGUGCGAAAGCGUGGGUAGCAAACAGGAUUAGAUACCCUAGUAGUC